rnacentral:rRNA from 1 species
CAGUCGCCACGGGAAUACGUAGGGUGCAAGCGUUAUCCGGAUUUAUUGGGUUUAAAGGGAGCGUAGGCCGGAGAUUAAGUGUGCUGUGAAAUGUAGACGCUCAACGUCUGACUUGCAGCGCAUACUGGUUUCCUUGAGUACGCACAACGUUGGCGGAAUUCGUCGUGUAGCGGUGAAAUGCUUAGAUAUGACGAAGAACUCCGAUUGCGAAGGCAGCUGACGGGAGCGCAACUGACGCUUAAGCUCGAAGGUGCGGGUAUCAAACAGGUUUAGAUACCCGCGUAGUCCCUGUCUCUUAUAC